rnacentral:rRNA from 1 species
UGCUAGUCGCACGGGUCUUAGAUCUCCGUGGCAUAUAGCUCAGUAACACGUGGCCAAACUACCCUACAGACCGCGAUAACCUCGGGAAACUGAGGCCAAUAGCGGAUAUCACUCUCACGCUGGAGUGCCGAGAGUGAGAAACGUUCCGGCGCUGUAGGAUGUGGCUGCGGCCGAUUAGGUAGAUGGUGGGGUAACGGCCCACCAUGCCGAUAAUCGGUACGGGUUGUGAGAGCAAGAACCCGGAGACGGUAUCUGAGACAAGAUACCGGGCCCUACGGGGCGCAGCAGGCGCGAAACCUUUACACUGCACGACAGUGCGAUAGGGGGACUCCGAGUGUGAGGGCAUAUAGCCCUCGCUUUUCUGUACCGUAAGGUGGUACAGGAACAAGGACUGGGCAAGACCGGUGCCAGCCGCCGCGGUAAUACCGGCAGUCCAAGUGAUGGCCGAUAUUAUUGGGCCUAAAGCGUCCGUAGCCGGCCGGACAAGUCCGUUGGGAAAUCGACGCGCUCAACGCGUCGGCGUCCAGCGGAAACUGUCCGGCUUGGGGCCGGAAGACCUGAGGGGUACGUCCGGGGUAGGAGUGAAAUCCUGUAAUCCUGGACGGACCACCAAUGGGGAAACCACCUCAGGAAGACGGACCCGACGGUGAGGGACGAAAGCUAGGGUCUCGAACCGGAUUAGAUACCCGGGUAGUCCUAGCUGUAAACGAUGCUCGCUAG